AGAACGUUUCUAUUGACUUUAUUCUUAUCAGGAAAAUAUGAUAAUUGGAAAGCUGAGAUGUAAAGCUUUAAAAUUUUUUUUUGAGAAUUAAAAUAGAUUUUUCUGUUUUACAUUUGUAUAUAAUCUUUUGUUUUUGUUAGUAACACAGCAUUUUAAUAGCAUAUUUCUUAUAGAUUAUAUUUUAGUUAAUGUUGCUUUAUGGAUACUGCUUUGCAGAAAAUAUUCUUAGCAUAGAAGCUUUGUUAUAACAAUUAUGAUAUUUUUUUUCUUUCUAUUUUACUUUAUAACUUUAGUUUUUUUUAUAAGUAUUUCUUGUUUAAUUUUUUGUUUUCCCUUUAGCCCAUUCCACUAAUAUAGAUAAGCAUAGAGUAAUUUCCAAUUAUAAAUAAACUUAUUUAUUCGUAAAAAAUAUUUAUUAAUGAAUUUUUUAAAAAAAAAAUAUUGCUAUAAAAAUAUAUUCUGCAUUUCACAAUUUUUUUUAGCUAACAUUCUGCCAAACCAUUACUCCUUACCUCUCUAGUCUGAAUAAUAAAUGUGCCCGUAUAAAAAUAACAAAAUAUGUUUGAAUAAUUUCUAUGUUUUUAAACGUAUUAACUGAAUGAAUUUUCUUUUUCUUAAUCUAUUGAUGUACUUCUGAGGAAGAUCUUUGGAAAGGAUCUGGCUUUGAGUAUGAAGCUCCAUCAAGUCUCAUUUGAAGGUUCCUGAAUUAAGUACAUAGCAGUGAAGAGGUGAUACAAACAGCGGGAUGGAAGAAGUUAUGAAUAGAUAUAUUUCUGAUCUGUGGCGAUGUGUUAUAAUUGUAAAUCUGUAUAUUGUAUGAUAGUUGUAAAAUAAAUAAAACUUAAUAAAUCUUA